rnacentral:rRNA from 1 species
AGAUUGAACGCUGGCGGCAUGCUUUACACAUGCAAGUCGAACGGUAACAGGCCGCAAGGUGCUGACGAGUGGCGAACGGGUGAGUAAUGCAUCGGAACGUGCCCUGUCGUGGGGGAUAACGCAGCGAAAGCUGUGCUAAUACCGCAUACGAUCUAUGGAUGAAAGCGGGGACCGAAAGGCCUCGCGCGAUUGGAGCGGCCGAUGGUCAGAUUAGCUAGUUGGUGGGUAAAGCCGACCAA